AGAACACUGUAAUCACAGCAGUACCAGUACUCAGCGCGCGUCUCGCCGUGGACGCUGCAUCUUGCUGUCGCCCAAUCACGUUUCCUCCGUGUCCCAUUCUCCCCUCGCGGCAACCAGUUCGGUUCAACUCCACGAAGCUGAUCACUCGGGGAAAAGCUGGGCUGGAGAUCCCGCCGAACUACUCCCACGGUGGAACUGCAAGGUCAUGCCUCCUGACACUGUCAUGGCCGUACUGGACAGGGACUCUUGCAAGAUCGGAAUGUCCGAGGCACAAACACAGAACGAGCAUUUGACCACAAGACCCUUGCAGUGUGGCGAGUGCCAAAAAGUUUUCAAGUGCAAGUCGAAGCUGCAAGCACACUUGUUUGCCCACGCAGGUGUCAGACCGUACGCUUGUAAUGUGUGCGACAGGAAAUUUUCAAAGAAAUGGUACCUAGUCGUUCACAAUCGUACGCAUACAGGCGAGAGACCGUUCGAGUGCUCGUUGUGCCCCGCCACAUUCACGAGCAGCGAGGCGUGGCAACGCCACGUCCGGACACACACUGGUGAACGACCGUAUCAGUGCAAGGAGUGCGGACAGGGAUUUGCCAAGCAAUCGAACCUUGUUCGCCACAGGCUGACUCAUUCGGGGAAGCAAAUGUUUGGCUGUGAUGUGUGUGGCCGAAAAUAUUCACGCAAAGAUUACCUCGAGUUGCACGUCCGUACACACACAGGUCAGAGGCCGUACAUAUGCCACUUGUGUCCUGCUACAUUCCCGAGCUUGGGUACACUCAAAACGCACGUUUUAGCUCACACUGGCAAGCGACCCCAUGUGUGCGACACAUGCGGUAUGAGUUUCACCAGAAGAUACGACCUUUUGCAGCAUAAGUUUGUUCACUCAGGCGAGAGGAAUUUCGAGUGUCAGUUGUGUAGCCGGAAAUUCCGUCAUAAAGAUACACUAAGGAAGCACAUCCGAAUCCAUAGAGGCUAAAAGCCAUAUCGCUGCCACCCUGCUGCAUUCGCGUAAAAGGGCACGAGAAAACUGCAUGUUUUCACAUUGGUGAAAACAUGCCGUCUGUGCAACAUAUGCGAGAGGGCUUUUACUGAAAGGGGGGAACCUUUUGCGCGAUAAUCGUAUUCAUGCAAUUGUAAGUCAGCUUGACUGCCAGUUCCGUAGUAGGACCUUUCAUUGUAGGGGAGAAUUCGAAGCCCACAUUUGCACGAGCACUGUUAAGUCAUACUAAAGUCACUGAAGCCGCGUGCAGUCAGUUCUAAGGGAACCAGAGGCUGACCCACGUUUACCUGCUAUGCCAAUUAAACAUCAUCACCCCAAAUAUGCCUGUUAGCAGUGUUAAAGUGCGGACUGUCAAGUCGUAUUGCUUGGUCCCCAGUUGAUCACCGAACAUAUGGUAGAAUAUUUGCAAAUAGCAUGUCACCAGACACCAGAUUUCGACCUUGACAACUGUAAAACCAGGCCAAUACUUUUACACCCGCGUGCAUUUUUGCGAAGUUCACCACUUCACCCACACUGGUGAAAAACCGCAAGGGUGCAGCGUAUGCGGAUGCCUUUCCACCACAAGUACACUUCAAGACAAGAUGCUGGCUCACUUAGGGGAGAAGCGUUUUAGCAUCCUGCGUGAAGCUGUGAACUGCUAUAGGUCCGCAUUCUUAAGUCUAACACUUCGAGCCGCUGCACCACCACUUUUGACCAAGUAAACUUGCACACAAGAAAACAUUAGGAAAACACCUGUUGAUUUCAGCUUACUGCCGACCGCGGACGUGGUAUCUGCUUUGCACAUGAAUUUCGCAAAAAAAUGUUCCGGUGGCUUCAAGCUCGGCUUCAGCUAAAGAAAAACUGUCUCCUAUCCAAUUAUGUCUAACAUUUUUAAUAGACAGAGCCGUGUUUAUAUUUACAUAAGUAAAUACUGGAAAAACUGCAGCAUGGGUUUAAUGAAGGCCAGGUAGAGCUUUGCGCAGCACCCUUUUCAUAGAACACACACUAAUGUCGUACUCACCGAAAGAUCCAGCAUGCGCCAGCCGUGCAUGCAUGACGUUCAUUACAUAGUUUCGGCCGUUAUAUCACAUGUUAAGUAAAUGGACAUGUGGGCCAGCUAAGUAGGCAUGUGCCUUGGCAUCUCAAUAUCUUUUCACUUUAGACUGUACAAACAUUCUCCUCCUGACGAUGAUUUCCUGACUGUGUGACUCUAGUUUCAGAUGAACUGUUUAGGUCUUUGGAGGACAUAACAGUCUGUGUUGCAGCGCGUGACCAUUUUUUAUACAUGUCGCCCUUCGUGUUCUGUAGAGAAUAAAACAUAUUUGAAUAAAACAUCCUUCAUUUCGGAUGUAUUUCUUCGCACGCGGUGCCAGUAUUUGUCGACUUCUA
rnacentral:lncRNA from 1 species